GACGAACGCUGGCGGCGUGCUUAAUACAUGCAAGUCAACUUGACUUUAGAUAGCAAUAUCGAAAAGUAGGGUGGCGCACGGGUGCGUAACGCGUAGGUAAUCUGCCCUGAGGUCUGACAUAACCCGUCGAAAGGCGGGCUAACAUCAGAUGAUAUAUAAUCACGACAUCGUGGAAAAUAUCAAAUCUUCGGAGCCUUGGGAUGAGCCUGCGUCUGAUUAGGGUAGUUGGCGGAGUAAUAGCCCACCAAGCCUACGAUCAGUAGCUGGUCUGAGAGGAUGAUCAGCCACACUGGAACUGAGACACGGUCCAGACUCCUACGGGAGGCAGCAGUAAGGAAUAUUGCUCAAUGGGGGAAACCCUGAAGCAGCAACGCCGCGUGAAGGAUGAAAUACUUUGUAUGUAAACUUCUGUAAAG
rnacentral:rRNA from 1 species